GAUGAACGCUAGCGGCAGGCUUAGUACAUGCAAGUCGAGGGGUAGCAAGAUUGUAGCAAUACAAUUGUUGACGACCGGCAAACGGGUGCGGAACACGUACACAACCUUCCUACAAGUGGGGAAUAGCCCAGAGAAAUUUGGAUUAAUACCCCGUAACAUAGCGAUGUGGCAUCACAUUGCUAUUAUAGCUUCGGCGCUUGUUGAUGGGUGUGCGGCUGAUUAGAUAGUUGGCGGGGUAACGGCCCACCAAGUCUACGAUCAGUAGCUGAUGUGAGAGCAUGAUCAGCCAAACGGGGACUGAGACACGGGCCCGACUCCUACGGGAGGCAGCAGUAAGGAAUAUUGGACAAUGGACGCAAGUCUGAUCCAGCCAUGCCGCGUGAAGGAUUAAGGUCCUCUGGAUUGUAAACUUCUUUUAUAAGGGACGAAAAAAGGUCUUUCUAGAUCGUCUGACGGUACCUUAUGAAUAAGCACCGGCUAACUCCGUGCCAGCAGCCGCAGUAAAAC
rnacentral:rRNA from 1 species